ACAUUACUCGAUGCUACACAGUUUUCUCCCUCUCGGAAUAACUUUGAACCUGCUUACUGUAUGCAUCUCAUAGUCCCCUUCAACAACUUUCGCAACCUACACGUCUCCUGCUAUACUAAACUGGCGAUCUUUUGUCUCUUUCAGUCAAGUGAUGCCAGAAAUUUCUUUACACCACAUUUGUAUUCAGUACCUCACCUUACUCACAGUGGGUGCUGAGAAUAAGAAAUAUACCAAAUCUCAAUUUUUUAAUCUGAAAAUGGUUUGUGAAAUAUGGCUAUGUAAAAUUUUCAAAAACUUGCCCAAACACCGUGAAUGGACUCCUAUUUAAACAGCUCUAGCAGCUGUCCUGAUUGAACUGGAGAGCUGGACGAUGUGCAGGCUUGGAAGGGGAGGUAACAUCCACAUCGGACAAACUGAAGUUACAAGGCAUAUCAGUCUACAUUACCACUGUGUAUGACAAAAACUGGUGGCUUUGGUACAUUUUAGAAAAAAAAGGAAGAACUUGAUGAAGUGAAAAUAAUUUUUUUUUCAUCCAUGUGGACCAGCUACAUCAGUCUCAUGUCAUACAUAUGCAGAUGUCCUGUGGAUGUCAGUUUUUGGUUAACUGGUUUCAACUCAAAACUUAAUUUUUCCUAAGAUGCUGUCCAUUCCGUUCAACUGCUCUUCCAAGUCCUUAGCUGUCUCUGGCAGAACUACAAUGUCACAUUUAUUGACUGUUCUGUUGAUUCUUGGUAGAAUAUUUUAUACAUUAUGAAUGAAAC